CCUGUGUGAGCCACCCGGCUGUCCCUCCUCCAAGGGGAGCCUGGAGGCAGAGCAGACAAUGAGCAGACUGUGUGCAUCUCAUGUCCCUCCUGGCCGUCAGUAAAGCUAUCCAUUACGCAGGCUCUAAUGGGACCCGAAGACCCCCAGGACUGUUCCAGAAACAGGUGGAACCAGGAGAAGGAGGUGGAGCCAGGCGAAUGAAGAGCCAGGGGAAGGAGGAGGAGCCUGGAGGAAGAGGAUUUGCUAGGAGAAGGAGAGGUGAUCCAAGAAAGGGUGGAGCCAGAGAAGCACAGCCCCAGGUCCUGAGGGGAAAGGAACUGAGGUGCAGAAAGGGUGCCUCACCCAACAAAAAUGACUGGAAAGUACUGGAACCAGGCCCAGCUACCAGGCAGGGGUCCUGCCUUGCCAUCCCGCUCAGCUGUAGCAAGAUCCGCUACAGAACCUCUCUUGUUUGCACUCUAAACUCAGAGCCCACUUUCUGCUGAAGUCCAAGCUUGGCUGUGGAAAUAUGAAGUAAACUCUGAAGUUUCUCUCCAGGCCUUCUUCUCGCACGGUCACCAUGGUGAUGGGAAAAUAUUAUGCACUGGAGGAAUUAUGGGAAUAUGAAUCAGCAGAAGCAGGGAGAGAGACCUCUGGAAAGUGGGGACUCCCAGGGGACGUGCUGCCUUUUCAAAGUAAACCCCUGAGAUGAUGGAUUGCCCUUCGCUUCCUGGAGGAGCCGGCACCAGGCUCACCGCAUUAGUGGCUGCCCUGCUCGCUCCAUGCAAAUGCUUCUUACAAGAAAAGCCAUGGCCAUUUAUUAGCGCGAUUGCUGCUUGGCAACACAGAGUUAUGGAAAUCUGCUGGCUCCAUUAAAUUUUAAACAUCACUCCUUGCCAAGGGAAACAAAUUAUUGAUGUUGAGUUGGGUGGACAUUUAAUGUUGUCUAGUAGAAUCCCAGUGGUGAAGAGUUGAAGCCUGGUUUGGGGGGCAGGGGAAGUUCCAGAGCAGGAGUUGUUGGGAUGGAAUGGCCAGCAGAAGCCGUGGCUGAUAAACCCUUCCCCAAAGCUUCUAGCUAAGUGUGAUUUUUAAGUUAUCAGUUGAGUUCCUCAGAGUAAUUAAAACUAAAAGUCUAAUAUGAACCAGAAAUUCCACUUCCAGAUACAUACCCAAAAGAACUAGAAUCAGGCGUGCAAACAGAUUUCCCACGUGUGUUCACAGUAACUCCACAGUAGCCAAAGGUGGGAACUGCCCAAGUACCUAGCCAUUGAGGAAGAGUGGGCACAGCCAUCUGGCCUGUGCACGAGGGAAAUCUAGGGAGCCUUGGCAGAUCCUGGCAGCAUUUGCUGCAACACAAAUGAACCCUAAGAUGGCACACUUUGAGUAAAAGGUGACAUAUUCACACGGUUAAAGUCAAGGACAGAAAGUAGGAUACUAAUUACCAGAGACUGGGUGUUGAAGGGAUGGGUGGUUGUUGUUUAAAGGGGUCAGAGUUCACACUUCUGCAAAAUGAACUCAGUUCUGGAAAGCCGUGGUAAGAAUGAUUAUAUACCAGUGAGAAAUUUCUUACUCACACUAAGCUUAUUUCCGCUGUGUACUCAAAAAUGGUUAAGCUAGCCAGUGUCGUUAUGCAUUUUACCUCACUAAGAAACUACUAAUCAAGGCUGAGGAUGUAGCUCAGUUUGGAGAAUAUGUGCUUCCAUACAAAAGGCCCUGGGUUUGAUCCCUAACACCACGUAAACUGGGAGUAGUGGUGCCUGCCUGUUUGAGGUCAGCCUGGGCUACAUCAGAUGCUGUUUCAAAAACAGGUGGGGAGGGUGAAAAGGGAACUGCCAAUAGAGAAACAUAACACAGUCGUUCAGACAUCGCUAUGCACGUCUAUACACGGGCUUGGACCCACUUCCAGCUAGGUCACAGAUCUUUCAAGCAACAUUUGGUCAAAAGGCUUGGUGGUGUUGGGGAAGCAUUUCAUCAAGAAGUCAUCAACGCUGCUUUAAAAAUGUACCAGUCAGUGUAAAAGUAACUUGCAUUUGCCUGAUUCAAUUGUAACCUUUGCCUAGCCCUGAGAGCGUCUAGCCUCGGUACAAUCUAACCUAGGCCUGGAAUGUUUUCAGCCUCUGAGACUUACUGCUGAAUAAGCUCACCCUUUCUUGUUUUUACUGAGCUCUGGGCUGGCUGGUUCAACUCAGCUGUUCUGGCUCAAAGUCCUCUUCCCAUAGACUUAUUCAAUCUGGAUUUUCUCUUGGCCUCUGAGUUGCUCUGCUUGGCCUCAAACUAACUCCAGCAAUCUGCUCUAACCUUCUGGCUUCUUCUUAUUCUGUGGCUCAUUCCGUCUUCACCUGCAUUCUUUUUCUGCAACCUGACUUUCUAUUACUGUCCCAGUAAAACUGUUCCCUUCUUCUGUAUUGUCUCUUAAGCAGCUUCCCUUUCUUCUCUUCUCGUUAGAGUUGGGCAUAUCCUUCCUAUUUUGCCAAGUCUGUCUCUGAUUCCUCGCUGUUUUUGUCACUCAAAUAGAUAACACUUUCAAACAUGGGUUCUUCUUUCUACAAAGUAACUUUAAUUUUAUUGUUUGGUAUUAAA